rnacentral:lncRNA from 1 species
UGCUUCGGAUAUAGGAUCGAUUGCAUGUGCUAUAAUAUUCAUCUUUUCUAAAUUUUCCAAAUGCUUAAGGCAUUGAGAAGGGAAAAGUCUAGAACUGGAUAUGACUAAAGUGAUUAAGCAAUUGUCGAGGACAAUCUGAGGUUCGCCAAAGAUUGGUUGCUCAGGGAAAGUUGGAAGUAUGAUGUAAGUUGUCGGAAAGGACCAUAUUGACAUAUUCUGAAAAGAAGUAACUCUUGUUCGGAAGUGAUAGUCAAAAUGGGACUAUGGAAAUGUCUCCAUAGGUGGAAGUUAUUCAAUCUAUGUAAGAUUAGAAAACCUUAAUGCAAGAAGGAUGUUCAAAGCAAUGUACUUUGAAUAUGAGACUUCCGUUCCAUAGAAGUUGACCUUCUUUGGAAUACUUUGUAAUGACUGGUGACAAGGUUUUGGUGACUUUGUGCAUAAUCAUUACAAGAGGAACAUUGCAUAAAAGUUUAAAAUCUAACAGAUUUUUUGGUAAAUGAUAGGAAUCGGGGAUUCUCACAUUUACAAUAAGGAUUUGGGAUUGUGAAAUGAGUAUCAUUGGAAUCAUGUUCAAUUGAUCUACAUCACAAUGUAAGGAUCAUAGACAAACAUAGUGUGCAUACUUGGAGUAUGGCAUAACUAUUGUUUAGAAAAACAAAGUGUACAUGCUAGGAGCAUGGGACGAUUGUUGUUUUUAUUCAAGUCUUAAGUUGAUUGUUUGAAACAUUAUACAAUGAAUAAUGUGUAAUCAAUAUGGUGAUAAAUAAAAGGUUAUGAACCUUGGAAAAUUAUUAUUUUGCAUGUAUUUAGACAAACAUAGAUCCAAGGUUUAUUAGGGUUGCAUGCACACUUAGGAAGUGUUAGAUUGCUCAAAACCCAACAGGAAUCCUUAGAAAAUCCUAUAUUUUCCAGAAAAGUACGUUGUAAGUUAAAUCCUUUGAGUUGUGUGUAAGUAUUAUCAUUCAAAACCUUCAGUUGUAAAAGUACGAUAAUAAAUCUCGUAUGAGUAACAUAGAUGAAGAAAAUUUAUGCCUGUUGACAUUAGUAGUGGUGCAAACUUCCAUUAGUAUUAGAUAUUUACUUACUUCGGGAUGUUAGCUUAGACUUAAGUCUUAGUGUAUUAAUUUGGAUAAAGGUGUAACCCCUAAUGUAACCAGACUGAAUGAUAAUAGAGAACCCGAUGACCUUCCUGGUCAUGCGUAGUGUAGUGAUGUAGUGCCACCCCUGGGCCUAGUCGGCUCGGACUGUAGUUAACAGUCGGGAUGUAAUAGUGUCUACCCCGUAUAGAUCUAUACAUGUAGUGUUGCCUUCCUUCCGGAAAGCCCUGGUCACAUGGGAUAAGCGCGGUAGAGAGUGUCUUAUAGAGAGAUAGUGUGUUAUACUCUAGAUUAGUGUAUUCUCUUGUAUUAUAGUAUAGUAGUCUUUUUGUAUAGUUCAUAGAGUGUUCUAUUAUACGUGUAUUAACUUGUAAUAACAACAGUUAUAGUGAGUAUAGUAGUAGAGGUAACGAGCAGUAGUCUUAACUAUACCUAUUAUAGUUAACUAGAGUGUAGGAUUUCAUGCCUUUGAAUAGAAAGGUAGCGGGUAAGAUGAAGACUUUCAUAUCUAACACAAAUAUAUAUAAUAUAUAACUAAGAAAUCAACGACAGUCGGACGGACAAUAGGUACCCUAAGACCACAUCAAACAAGAACAGGAAAUAAGGGGAGCUAUCGGUCCUAAGUCCUUCAAGUCUUACUUAUAUAAAUAUAUUAGUGUAGAUAUAUUUUAAAAGAAAAGUAGUUUAAACAUAGUUUUGAAAAUAGUUUAAGAAAAAUUUAAUCUUAAAAAUGCAUUUGAUAAUCAACAAAAAUAGUUUUAUUGGUAAGCAGCUAAAAGUGUGGAAAAUCCCUUUUUGAUGAUAAUUGGUGAAUCACAUAUGAUUUAAUAAUAAAAACUUGUAGAAUUUUACUUGUAUCUCCCCCUAAAACAUGUAAAAACAUUUAAAAAGGUUCAUUAAGGGGUAUGAACUCACCUGCAAUGAGGAGAUCGGGUGGAUGUGUCGGAUGAGCGUUUGGUGUCAAGUAAAGACUCGUGCACCCUUUAUGACCCUAGUAACAUAUGAAGACAUAUGUUUACAAGUAAGUAGUGAUUUAGACUCUAAUUAUACACAUAUAGACAUCCUAUUGUGGUUAAAGGUCUUAUGGUUGAGUGUUAGAAGGCUAAUAGGUUGCAAGGAAAGAGUAUAAGACCUCACCAUGGAGUUUACUCUUCUAAAACUCACCUUAAGUGAAUUUACGGUUGGGAGACCACAUCCCCCAUGAGUUUACGGCUGUAAACACAUGGGAGGAGUGUAAUUGAGUGUUUUCAAGCCUCUUGUGGUUCUAGCAAUGAUUCUAAGGCAAUAUACAAGGCUAUAGGGGUGUUUUAGGUUAAAGGAGGGUAAUCCCUUGGAGUUUACGGUCCCAGGACCACUCCAUGGGAGUUUACGGCCAUAAACCCCAUGUUUUACGGUAGUAAACUCUUGGAAGCCAUCCAUACUUUGAUUUCAAGGUCCUAGGCUCAUUCCUAACAAGUUCUAGUGAGAGUGUAACGCUUUUUAGGGGUUUAGAGGGUCAUUUGGCAUGGUUUAAGGGGGUUUACGGUCUAAGAAUAUGCUUGGGCCGUAGACUCUAGUUUACCCUUAAAAUGUUGAUGUUUAGGUGUUCCAAGUCUGAAAUAUCAAGCCCCUAAGUCAUAUCUUAAGCCUAAAUGUGGUUUGGAAGUGUUUUGGCCUUGGUUUGCAAGCUUAGAGGGUGUUUACGGUCUAAGCAUGUGCUUGGACUGUAAAACCUCUUUCAAGCCCUAAAACUUGUUGAUUCAAGGUUCAAACACUUCUAGGUUAGGUCCAAAACUAGUUUUUAAGCUUAAAGGGGAGAAAUUGGGCACUUUUGACAUCAUUUUAGGGGUUUACGGCCUAAGGAGGUUCUUAGGCUGGAAACUCCUCUUUUUCAGCAUUCUUGCAUGAUUUUUGAGUUAAAACACAAAUCAAUGAUGUCUAGAACAAGUUAGGGUAAGGGAACUUACGUUUUGGAGGCGGAAACUUGCGGUUUUGAGGUGAAAUCGGACUUGAGGAGAGAGAGUAGAGAGAGGAAGUGGGUCUAGUGUGGUAAAAGGUUUCUAAGUAGUGUCCACCCACCUUUAUAUAGGACUUGGGUGUUGUACCCGGUAUACGACUACCCGAUACUUAUGUUUAACGAGGUUUAAAAUUUUUACUCGGUUAAAUGAUCGUAAUUAAAAAUAAACUUUUUCCAAUAAAAUGGAAAGAUAAUUUUACGUGUUUUUAUUUAUUUUAUUACGAUGAUAUUAACAUAAAAUACAAAUAAAUAAAACAUUUAUUUAUUUGUCGACCCCAAUUUAACGGAAGUUUUAUAAAAUAGAAUAUUCUAUUAACGGAAACGGGUUAUAAUGACGAAAUAAAUUUUGGGUUGUCACACCUCUGCUACGCGAAUGUGACCAAGCAUAUAACUCUUAACUCAAUAUGAGAAGAGUAUGGUAGCUCGUGACUUAUGUGAAUGUAACAUCCUAGUUGGGAAGGAACGAAGGGUAGAUUCAAUUCAUUAAGGUUUCACAUGAAGUCUAUUGAGGCUUAGGACAAUAUGCAACAACAUUCUUCUAAUGACAACUAGUUAGUACAAAGAUAUGGAAAUUAUACAUGUCCCAUCAUUCGUUUUAGCAAGAUAACCUACAAUGGUCCUCGAAAAAUAUUAAACGAGAAAGAAAAUAUUUUUGUAUUUUGAUAAUUGCUUGAAAGAUAAAGAAAAAAAAACAAAAUAGAAUAUUUUAGUAUUUUAAAUAUGAAAGAGAAAAACAUAAAUAAGGAGAAUAUUUUUAUAUUUGGACCACUUUAAAGAAAAAUAAAACGAAACGAGCGUAAGUGUACAAAAUAUAAAAAGAUUAGACCACGAAUGUUCGCUUUUAAGAAAUUUGAGGAGCAAGAUAGGGUGAAUGUUCGACUCAAUUUGUGUCCCGAAAAAAACGGAAACGUACUAAAAUGAGUGUUCGUUCUAUUUUGCUUGUCUAAAAAGUAAGAACGAAAGCGAACAAGUAACCCAAAAGUGAACGAGCUACUUAGAAGGAAAUAGUGGCUUUGGAACUUAUUUCGCCUCCAUCAUUACUAGGCCUUGGAGUAUUCUAUUAAAUGAUGCUUUCGGCAAGGCUUUCGUGAAUAUGUCAGCCAAUUUGUCUGUUGGACAAACAAAUUGAAUCUCAACGUUGCCGUCCUCUACAUGAUCCUUGAUGAAAUGUUACCUCAGUGUUAUGUGUUUUGUCUUUGAAUGUGCACUGGGUUGUGAUAGAUGUGAAUUGCACUUUCAGAGUCACAGUAGAGUGGGAUUCGCUUCAUAUUCAGUCCAUAAUCUCGGCUGUUGACAAUGAAAUGCAUGUUUGCUUUUUGGAUUGCCAACUAACUAACUUGCCAUCAAGAAAUUGGCAUCCACCAGUCGUUCUUUUUCUAUCUAAGUGGCACCCACCAAAAUCAGCGUCCGAAAACGCUUGAACAAAGAAUCCUGAGUUCGCAGGAUACCAUAUGCCUAUAAAUGAAGUUCGUUUCAGGUAUCUGAAAAUAUUAUUCACUGCGAACAUGUCAGGUUCGCGAGGGUUUGCUUGGAACCUUGCACAAUAACAAAUAGAAAACAUAAUAUCCUGUCUACUAGCUGUUAGAUACAUCAAGGAACCAAUCAUCUGACGAUAAAUGGUCAUAUCCGUAGCUUGUUUUUCCAGAGAUGGUGUAAGUUUCAUUAUGAAUGCCAUUGGAACAUUCACAUUAGAGUCUCCCAUCAUGCCAAACUUAGAGAGAAAAGUUUUCGAAUAUGCUUCCUGAUUAAUGAAAAUACUUUCUAGUCCCUGCCUUAUAUUCAAUCCAAGGAAAAAUUUAAUAGGACCCAUUGAACUCAUCUCAAAUUUAGUUUCCAUCAACUUUCAGAAUUCAGCUAUGAGGCUGGGAUUAGUAGAUCCGAAGAUGAUGUUAUCAACAUAAAUUUGGACGAUCAUCAAACGGUUACCCUCAUUCUUACGAAAGAAUGGUGGGUCAACCGAAACUUGUUUAAACUUAGACAUUUUAAGCAAGCGAGUAAGAUUUUCAUACCUGGCUCUCGGAGCUUGCUUCAGUCUGUAAACUGCCUUAUCCUGCAACAGUGAUUUGAUGGGUUUUAUACAAACAAUCCUAUGUGUGCAUGCAAUCCUAAUUUAGAUCUAUGUUUUCACUAUUAGAUACACAACAUUAUGAACACAUGGAUAAAACCCUAAUAUAGCAUGCUAUUUUCGAAAAUCACAUAAAAGGUUAGAUCACAUACCUCUUGUUGUUAUAUUGCAAUAACAACUUAAAUCUUCAAACCCUUAGUCUUGAAAGCGAGCACCACAAGUGUAGUGCCUCUAAUGGCUCACAAACACCACAAGCAAUUGGAGAGGCUAUAGAGAGAGAAGGGAUGAGGUAGAAAUCGUCCUUGGGAGCUCUUAGAAGCAAGUGGACAAUUUCUUAAGGCCUAGGGGUCUUUAUAUAUGGUUGGGAUUAGGGUUUCAGUCCUUAUCCUUAUCCAGUUACUUGCCCACCAAGCAACCACAAGAUAAGCCUUGAAAAACCCUUAUCUCUUGGACCUUGUACGAUUUCAAGGAUAUCCUGAUCCUUAAAUUCGUCCAUCCUUUAACAAGGAUUACCAUUGCCCUAUUUUGCAACUAUCACAUAAUUACAAUUCAGCCCCUCUAGUGUAAUUAAUGACACUUGAUCACAAAAUUAAUUCCUAAUUAAUUAUUGACCAAUAUUAAUUAAACAAAUAUGAUUUCUCCUUUAAUAUAUUAUUCUUAUAACAUAUUAAUAAAUCAUAAUAACCUCUUUCUCUAUUUAUUUCUCCAGUCAAGUUGCUUUGGUGAAGGCAACCCAAAAGGACCAUGCACAACCGGGUCAAGUAUUUACCAAAUAUGGUUACGGGCUUAGACACUAAUCCAACAGUCUCCCACUUGGAUAAGUCUAGUAACCACAAAUGUAACGUACAACUCGAUUAGCAAUCGUAGCUCUCAAAGACGCUGUCNNNNNNNNNNNNNNNNNNNNNNNNNNNNNNNNNNNNNNNNNNNNNNNNNNNNNNNNNNNNNNNNNNNNNNNNNNNNNNNNNNNNNNNNNNNNNNNNNNNNNNNNNNNNNNNNNNNNNNNNNNNNNNNNNNNNNNNNNNNNNNNNNNNNNNNNNNNNNNNNNNNNNNNNNNNNNNNNNNNNNNNNNNNNNNNNNNNNNNNNNNNNNNNNNNNNNNNNNNNNNNNNNNAGAUAGGUUAUGAACCUUGGAAAAUUAUUAUUUUGCAUGUAUUUAGACAAACAUAGAUCCAAGGUUUAUUAGGGUUGCAUGCACACUUAGGAAGUGUUAGAUUGCUCAAAACCCAACAGGAAUCCUUAGAAAAUCCUAUAUUUUCCAGAAAAGUACGUUGUAAGUUAAAUCCUUUGAGUUGUGUGUAAGUAUUAUCAUUCAAAACCUUCAGUUGUAAAAGUACGAUAAUAAAUCUCGUAUGAGUAACAUAGAUGAAGAAAAUUUAUGCCUGUUGACAUUAGUAGUGGUGCAAACUUCC